ensembl:lncRNA
AAAUUAACCUCUUGGCCUCUAUUCAGAAGUAAUUGUUCAGGAGAAAUCUUGAUUUGGGUUAUGACUGUUAAUUCUGUUCUGGUGAGUAAUGCAGCUGUCAGCUGUGUUGUACAUCUGUUGAGGCAGGGUAAGUGAGAGGAAGAAUGUUCUGGAAAAUUAUACAAAUGGUUUAGCGAUGGCUCUUAAGGGAGGAAUGUUAGUUUGACAUAUCCAUGGCACUUAUAGCAGAGAUUUAUCAAGAACUCACACAUCUAUCAAAGAAGCCAGUGAGAUCAUUGAACAGUCGCGAACGUCGCGCUUACUGUCACAUUCAUUAUCCUCUGAAAUAAACCAAGCACUUUUAGUUCCACAAGACUAUAUAUAAUGAUGCUGAAGUGCAGCGGCUGGUGAAAUAGUUUCCUAUUCUCUCUAAAUAAAGAAUACGCUCUAAGCUUACCAUCCAUGAAAGAGAGAAGCACAAUUUGAUAUUUUUUUGUAGUCUCCAUGGACACAAAUACCAGAGAGUUGGAUAUUUCCUCGUCGCAUUGUCCUGACAGGCUUCAUGGCAUGUGUCCCAGGCAAAAUGAAACCCCUAAAAUACAUCUCUGAGAUUUGCAUAUGAUUACUUCCCUGUGCUUGCGGCCAUAUGUUCUAUGUGUGUUAAUUAGUUUACGAGAGAGAGACAGCGGGAGAGAAUCGCAACGAGGGAGCCAUUUGCUGUCCAGGAAGCCAUCCUGAAAUGAACAUGCAGGUGUGGGGUUUUAUAAAUGGAACUGAGACCCUUUUUCAGACUCUAUCCCUGGACUGGUCAGUUGUGCUGACAGGGCUGUCUACUGCUGGCCAUUUCUCUCAUCCAGUCUGUCACUGUAGAGCCCUUUAGGACCAGGUGUGUCUGUCCAUUGCUGGAUGCCUUAAUGACAAGCCUCAUUUUGACAUGCCUGUCCAAUGAGCUGGAGGCCAUCUUGAGACCUCCAUCCUGCCACCAAUCAAACCAGCAUUUGUCAUGUACUGUCAAACCAGCCAUUUGAUAAAUGCUACACCCCACCUCCAUCUCAAGUAUAUAUAAUAAAUAAAAUAAAUAUAUUUUCUCA